GCAGUGGUGGUUCAGUGGUAGAAUCUUUGCCUUCCAUGCGGGAGACCCAGGUUUGAUUCCCGGCCAAGACA
rnacentral:tRNA from 1 species